AUUGAACGCUGGCGGCAUGCCUUACACAUGCAAGUCGAACGGCAGCACGGGAGCAAUCCUGGUGGCGAGUGGCGAACGGGUGAGUAAUAUAUCGGAACGUGCCCGGUCGUGGGGAUAACGUAGCGAAAGCUACGCUAAUACCGCAUACGAUCUACGGAUGAAAGCGGGGGAUCGCAAGACCUCGCGCGAUUGGAGCGGCCGAUAUCAGAUUAGGUAGUUGGUGAGGCAAAGGCUCACCAAGCCGACGAUCUGUAGCUGGUCUGAGAGGACGACCAGCCACACUGGGACUGAGACACGGCCCAGACUCCUACGGGAGGCAGCAGUGGGGAAUUUUGGACAAUGGGCGCAAGCCUGAUCCAGCAAUGCCGCGUGCAGGAUGAAGGCCUUCGGUUGUAAC
rnacentral:rRNA from 1 species